rnacentral:misc_RNA from 1 species
AACCAUUCUCACCUGCGGCUAGACCUGCGGAGGGAUCAUUACUGAGUCACGUGCUCAAACAACCCUUCUGUGGACCUGAAAUAAAACCGUUGCCUCGGCGGGCGGCCCCCCCCAAACCAACCCCACGUGGUGGGUUAGGGGAGACCAGACAGUCCGGUACGCUUAAGGCGUCCGGCGCCAGCCGCUGGCCCCAAACAAUUAAACUCUAGUAAUCUUUACCUUCUGAAUUUCAAUAUUUAA